rnacentral:rRNA from 1 species
CUGCGAACGGCUCAUUAAAUCAGUUAUCGUUUAUUUGAUAGUACCUUUACCUACUUGGAUAACCGUGGUAAUUCUAGAGCUAAUACAUGCUAAAAGUCCCGACCUCCGGAAGGGACGUAUUUAUUARAUAAAAAACCAAUGCCCUUCUGGGCUUCUUGGUGAUUCAUGAUAACUUUACGAAUCGCAUGGCCUUGUGCCGGCGAUGGUUCAUUCAAAUUUCUGCCCUAUCAACUUUCGAUGGUAGGAUAGUGGCCUACCAUGGUUUCAACGGGUAACGGGGAAUUAGGGUUCGAUUCCGGAGAGGGAGCCUGAGAAACGGCUACCACAUCCAAGGAAGGCAGCAGGCGCGCAAAUUACCCAAUCCCGACACGGGGAGGUAGUGACAAGAAAUACUGAUACAGGGCCCAUCUGGGUCUUGUAAUUGGAAUGAGUACAAUUUAAAGCCUUUAACGAGGAACAAUUGGAGGGCAAGUCUGGUGCCAGCAGCCGCGGUAAUUCCAGCUCCAAUAGCGUAUAUUAAAGUUGUUGCAGUUAAAAAGCUCGUAGUUGAACUUUGGGUCUGGGUGACCGGUCCCCCGACUGGGUGUGCACUGGAAACCCGGAUCUUUCCUUCUGGAGAACCUCAUGCCCUUCACUGGGUGUGUUGGGGAACUAGGACUUUUACUUUGAAAAAAUUAGAGUGUUCAAAGCAGGCUUUUGCUCGAAUACAUUAGCAUGGAAUAAUAAAAUAGGACGUGCGGUUCUAUUUUGUUGGUUUCUAGGACCGCCGUAAUGAUUAAUAGGGAUAGUCGGGGGCAUCCGUAUUCGAUUGUCAGAGGUGAAAUUCUUGGAUUUUUCGAAGACGAACUACUGCGAAAGCAUUUGCCAAGGAUGUUUUCAUUAAUCAGGAACGAAAGUUGAGGGAUCGAAGACGAUCAGAUACCGUCGUAGUCUCAACCAUAAACUAUGCCGACUAGGAAUCGGGCGAUGUUUUCAAUUUGACUCGCUCGGCACCUUACGAGAAAUCAAAGUUUUUGGGUUCUGGGGGGAGUAUGGUCGCAAGGCUGAAACUUAAAGGAAUUGACGGAAGGGCACCACCAGGAGUGGAGCCUGCGGCUUAAUUUGACUCAACACGGGGAAACUCACCAGGUCCAGACACAUUAAGGAUUGACAGAUUGAGAGCUCUUUCUUGAUUAUGUGGGUGGUGGUGCAUGGCCGUUCUUAGUUGGUGGAGUGAUUUGUCUGCUUAAUUGCGAUAACGAACGAGACCUUAACCUGCUAAAUAGCUGGGCUCGC